rnacentral:tRNA from 1 species
GACAAGAUCAGCUAAAUAAGCUAUUGGGCUCAUACCCUGAAAAUGGAUCAUCUCCUCUUGUCA